rnacentral:rRNA from 1 species
GACGAACGCUGGCGGCGUGCUUAACACAUGCAAGUCGAGCGGUAAGGCCUUUCGGGGUACACGAGCGGCGAACGGGUGAGUAACACGUGGGUGAUCUGCCCUGCACUUCGGGAUAAGCCUGGGAAACUGGGUCUAAUACCGGAUAUGACCUCAGGUUGCAUGACUUGGGGUGGAAAGAUUUAUCGGUGCAGGAUGGGCCCGCGGCCUAUCAGCUUGUUGGUGGGGUAAUGGCCUACCAAGGCGACGACGGGUAGCCGACCUGAGAGGGUGAUCGGCCACACUGGGACUGAGACACGGCCCAG